AACGAGACCUUAACCUGCUAAAUAGCCCGUAUUGCUUUGGCAGUACGCCGGCUUCUUAGAGGGACUAUCGGCUCAAGCCGAUGGAAGUUUGAGGCAAUAACAGGUUAACCGUCACAGGCCUGUAAUAGUAGAGCCUUAUAAUCUGCUAGUUGCUGUCUUUACCUCUCUGAGGGGAGCCCCUCGAUAUCGGGGAGAGGAG
rnacentral:rRNA from 1 species